UACGGAGGGUGCAAGCGUUAAUCGGAAUUACUGGGCGUAAAGCGUGCGCAGGCGGUUUGUUAAGUCUGUUGUGAAAUCCCCGAGCUCAACUUGGGAAUUGCAAUGGAUACUGGCAGGCUGGAGUAUGGUAGAGGAAGGUGGAAUUCCUGGUGUAGCGGUGAAAUGCGCAGAUAUCAGGAGGAACACCGAUGGCGAAGGCAGGUCUCUGGGCAUUAACUGACGCUGAGGAGCGAAAGCAUGGGGAGCGAACAGG
rnacentral:rRNA from 1 species